AUGCAAAUAAUCUUAGUUCUAGAAUACAACUUAUCUUUUGGCAUGGUCUACUUGAUGCAAACAAUUCUAUUAUAUAAUGUCUGUUGUUUAAGUUCAUAUAUACACUACUUACUAUUCUUCUUGUUCAAUAGUCAAAGAUAUGUGGAAAAACUUUUGACUUCCUUUGAAAAUUUUGUUAUUCUGAAUGAUUCUUGUGGAUCUCAUUUAAUCAGGCAAAAUUGCUCAUGCAUGGCGUACACCAGCACCAAGAUCAGCGACGCAUGGUUCCCUAACUUCGGCCAGGACUCUAUGUGCGUCUUGUCAUUGCCGAUCUCGGUCGAUUAG
rnacentral:rRNA from 1 species